UAACUAAGACGGGGUUAGGCCCCACUGACUGGG
rnacentral:piRNA from 1 species